UUCCUGGCUCAGAUUGAACGCUGGCGGCAUGCCUUACACAUGCAAGUCGAGCGGCAGCGCGGGGGCAACCCUGGCGGCGAGCGGCGAACGGGUGAGUAAUACAUCGGAACGUGUCCUGUCGUGGGGGAUAACCAGUCGAAAGACUGGCUAAUACCGCAUGAGAUCGAGAGAUGAAAGCGGGGGACCGCAAGGCCUCGCGCGACAGGAGCGGCCGAUGCCGGAUUAGCUAGUUGGUGGGGUAAAAGCUCACCAAGGCGACGAUCCGUAGCUGGUUUGAGAGAACGACCAGCCACACUGGGACUGAGACACGGCCCAGACUCCUACGGGAGGCAGCAGUGGGGAAUUUUGGACAGUGGGCGCAAGCCUGAUCCAGCCAUGCCGCGUGUGUGAAGAAGGCCUUCGGGUUGUAAAGCACUUUCGGACGGAACGAAAUCGCACGGGCGAAUAUCCCGUGUGGAUGACG
rnacentral:rRNA from 1 species